GUCUUUUUGAUUUUUAUUAAAAGUUUAACCUGCCCAUUGAAAAUUUUUAAAAGGCUGCAGUAUUUUGACUGUACAAAGGUAGCAUAAUCAUUAGUUUUUUAAUUGAAAACUUGUAUGAAUGGUUGAAUGAGAAAUUAACUUUUUUAAAAAAAUAAUUGAAUUUUACUUUUUAAUUAAAAGGUUAAAAUAAAUUUAAAAGACGAGAAGACCCUAUAGAGUUUUAUAAUUUUUAUUUAAUAUUUUAAAAAGAUAAAUUUAAAUUUUAUAAAAAAAAUUAUUUUGUUGGGGUGAUUAUAAAAUUUAAGAAACUUUUAUUUUUUUUUACAUUAAUAUAUGAUUUUAUGAACCAUUAUUUAAUGAUUAAAAAUUUAAAUUACCUUAGGGAUAACAGCGUAAUUUUUUUUACAAGUUCAUAUUAAUAAAAAAUUUUGCGACCUCGAUGUUGGAUUAAGAUUUAAUUUUAGGUGCAGCAGUUUAAAUUUUAAGUCUGUUCGACUUUUAAAUUCUU
rnacentral:rRNA from 1 species